ensembl:lncRNA
GCAGUGAUGGAGCACCUGGUGAGGGGUGUAGCCAGCCCUGCGAGCACAGUGGCUGCCUCCAUUGGAUUGUUGGGUGAGCCUUGCUCCUUGAAAAAAGUUUUGAGUUGUGCUCUGGAACAGGAUGUACAGCUGGAUCUAGAACAGUUGCCAAAGAGGUGUCCAUGGGCAAACGGUGCUGGAUUUCCCAGGUAAUGGUGAUGCUGAGAAGCAUGCCUCAUGAUGACUUACACAUCCCUCAUGCUUCAUAUUAAUUCUUCCUUUGGGUCAAAAGUAGACUGAAAUUCUUGAAACCUUGCCUGGGAAUCCUGCUGUUGCUAAAAUGGUUCAGCCGUGGUGCCUGUGGUCAGAAUACCUUGUGGCAGACCCUGGCACUGGCUGUGAAUGAAAGAACUGACGACAAAUUGCUCAAUAUCGAAAGCGAGCCAAUGCAUAUUUACAAGCCUUGGGUGAGCCAGAUGGAAUCUAAGAGCGGGAGGCCGGGUAGGAAAGCUGUUACUAUGAUGUUUCUUAGAAGACUUGCACGGCUGUUUUGCAUUGCUCUGUUAAUUGUUCCAAGGCACCCUUGGCUUCACUGCGUGCAAUUCAUACCAUGUUUUUUCAUCACUUCAGAUGCUGGCUGAAAUAUGUAUAUACAUGUGUAUAUAUAAAUGUAUACACAUACACAUAUUUAAAAAAAAAAAAAGGCAUGACAACAACAACUUACUGGUUAUGUAUUCAUUUAUUUACAGGUAUACCAAAGCAUUUAGCACGGGGUUGGAGGGUUUGUCGAAGUUUUCCUUGCUUUUCUUUGUCGUCUCCCCUUCUUCCUCCCACCAUCCUCUGCCAAGAAAAAAAAGAGAGGAGGGGAUGCGCGCCCACGGUCCCAGGCAGUCCGCUAAAAGGCGGCAGAGUUGUUGUUUCCACGGUAUCUGCUGCCACCUAAAG